GACGAACGCUGGCGGCGUGCUUAACACAUGCAAGUCGAACGGAAAGGCCUGCUUUCCCUUGUGGAUUGCGGGUACUCGAGUGGCGAACGGGUGAGUAACACGUGAGUGAUCUGCCCCCAACUUGGGUAUAAGCCUGGGAAACUGGGUCUAAUUCCCGAUAGGACUGCAGGGUGGUGCCUGUGGUGGAAAACGAUUUUCUAGUGGUUGGGGAUGAGCUCGCGGCCUAUCAGCUUGUUGGUGGGGUAAUGGCCUACCAAGGCGGCGACGGGGAGCCGGCCUGAGAGGGUGGACGGACACAUUGGGACUGGGAUACGGCCCAGACGCCGACGGGAGGCAGCAGUGGGGGAUAUUGCAGAAUGAGCGGAAGCCUGAUGCAGCGACGCCGCGUGGGGGAUGACGGCCUUCGGGUUGUAAACUCCUUUGGACCGAGAGGAAGCCACCUGGUUGGAAGGGUGGUGACGGUAGUGGUAGAAGAAGCACCGGCUAACUACGUG
rnacentral:rRNA from 1 species